GAUUAUGGCUCAGGAUGAACGCUGGCGGCGCGCUUAACACAUGCAAGUCGAACGGUUAAAGCCCCUCGGGGGUGCAUAAAGUGGCGAACGGCUGAGUAACACGUGGGCAACCUGCCCCCCGCAUCGGGAUAGCCUCGGGAAACCGUGGGUAAUGCCGGAUACUCCCUCCCUGCCGCAUGGCUGGGAGGGGAAACGCGUACACGGCGGGGGAUGGGCCCGCGGCCUGUUAGCUCGUUGGCGGGGUAACGGCCCACCAAGGCGAUUAUGGGUAGCCGGGUUGAGAGACCGACCGGCCAGAUUGGGACUGAGACACGGCCCAGACUCCUACGGGAGGCAGCAGUGGGGAAUCUUGCACAAUGGGCGAAAGCCUGAUGCAAGCGACGCCGCGUGCGGGAAGAAGGCCCUCGGGUUGUAAACCGCUUUCAGCAGGGACGAGGCGCAAGUGACGGUACCUGCAGAAGAAGCCCCGGCUAACUACGUGCCAGCCGCAGC
rnacentral:rRNA from 1 species